CUUUCUUGGUGCGCAUGGAUUUUACUGAACCAUUGCAAAUAAAAUAUAUUUACACCUAUAGUUCUUGAACAGAUCUGCUUCAGACUUUGUUUUUAAGCUGUAUCCUUCCACUCUAAAGUAAUGCAAUUCUUUCUCUUUCUAGCGCCAAGGUCACAGUCGAAAGAUGUCUCCGAUGAAGAUUUGGCUGUGCAAAUGAGCAAGCUGCUUGUGAAGAAAGUUCUACCUGAAACAGCUUGAAACAAUUCAUGUGAGGAAUAUAACUCUUUGUCAUGAUCACUCUGCUAAUGAUGUGUUUAAUGAGAUCAGUCAGAAAAAGAUUGCAGAGGAGGUGUUUAGAAAGAGAAACACAACGCUGUCCUGACCCGCUCUAUUAAAUGACCCUGGAAGAAGAAUGAUUUCAUAUAGGGCUCU
rnacentral:lncRNA from 1 species